AGAGCGAACGCUGGCGGCAGGCUUAACACAUGCAAGUCGAACGGAUCCUUCGGGAUUAGUGGCGGACGGGUGAGUAACACGUGGGAACGUGCCUUUAGGUUCGGAACAACACAGGGAAACUUGUGCUAAUACCGGAUGUGCCCUUCGGGGGAAAGAUUUAUCGCCUUUAGAGCGGCCCGCGUCUGAUUAGCUUAUUGGUGAGGUAAAGGCUCACCAAGGCUACGAUCAGUAGCUGGU
rnacentral:rRNA from 1 species